UACGUAGGGGGCUAGCGUUGGCCGGAAUCAUUGGGCGUAAAGAGCGUGUAGGCGGUCCGGUAAGUCCGCUGGGAAAGUCGGGGGCUCAACCCUCGAAUGCCGGUGGAUACUGUCGGGCUAGAGUGCGGAAGAGGCGAGUGGAAUUCCUGGUGUAGCGGUGAAAUGCGCAGAUAUCAGGAGGAACACCUAUUGCGAAGGCAGCUCGGUGGGACGUAACUGACGCUGAGACGCGAAAGCGUGGGGAGCAAACAGG
rnacentral:rRNA from 1 species